rnacentral:rRNA from 1 species
CCUACGGGAGGCAGCAGUGGGGAAUAUUGCACAAUGGGGGAAACCCUGAUGCAGCGACGCCGCGUGAGUGAAGAAGUACUUCGGUAUGUAAAGCUCUAUCAGCAGGGAAGAAAAUGACGGUACCUGAGUACGAAGCCCCGGCUAACUCCGUGCCAGCCGCCGCGGUCAUACGUAGGGGGCAAGCGUUAUCCGGAUUUACUGGGUGUAACGGGAGCGUAGACGGCAGUGCAAGGCUGGGGUGAAAGGCGGGGGCUCAACCCCCGGACUGCUCUGGAAACUGGAAGGCUGGAGUGCAGGAGAGGUAAGUGGAAUUCCUAGUGUAGCGGUGAAAUGCGUAGAUAUUAGGAGGAACACCAGUGGCGAAGGCGGCUUACUGGACUGUAACUGACGUUGAGGCUCGAAAGCGUGGGGAGCAAACAGGAUUAGAUACCCCAGUAGUC